UGAGGAAUAUUGCGCAAUGGAGGCAACUCUGACGCAGCCAUGCCGCGUGCAGGAAGAAGGCGCUACGCGUUGUAAACUGCUUUUAUCCGGGAAGAAACCCUCCGACGUGUCGGAGGUUGACGGUACCGGAGGAAUAAGCACCGGCUAACUUCGUGCCAGCAGCCGCGGUAAUACGAAGGGUGCAAGCGUUAUCCGGAUUCAUUGGGUUUAAAGGGUGCGUAGGUGGGGCGGUAAGUCAGUGGUGAAAUCCUGCAGCUUAACUGUAGAAUCGCCAUUGAUACUGUCGCUCUUGAGUACGCUUGACGUGGGCGGAAUGUGCCGUGUAGCGGUGAAAUGCUUAGAUAUGGCACAGAACACCGAUAGUGAAGACAGCUCACGAAGGCGAAACUGACACUGAGGCACGAAAGCGUGGGGAUCGAACAGGAUUAGAUACCCGUGUAGUCC
rnacentral:rRNA from 1 species